CCUGCCCCUAGAGGUGUUGCAGGUGUGGCUGCUACAUCACAUGUGUAGGUAGCAGACAGGAAAGAGGGCAUGUAUAUGCUCAAUAUUCUGACCUAUGAACAUCUGAAUGAUUAGUAGCCUAACACU
rnacentral:snoRNA from 1 species